UCCUCUAAAGUCCAUGACAGAGAUCCAUCACCCUCUUCCAGUGAUGAGUAUAAUCAACCCCUCAGCACUCCAAUAAAAAAAACAGAGUCCUCUAAAGUCCUUAGUAUAAACACUCUUGGAAAAGGCAAGAAACAUGACGAGCAAUCUAAAG